GAAACGACUCUCGACAACGGAUAUCUCGGCUCUCGCAUCGAUGAAGAACGUAGCGAAAUGCGAUACUUGGUGUGAAUUGCAGAAUCCCGUGAACCAUCGAGUCUUUGAACGCAAGUUGCGCCCCAAGCCGUCAGGCCGAGGGCACGUCUGCCUGGGUGUCACAC
rnacentral:rRNA from 1 species